rnacentral:lncRNA from 1 species
AUCUAUUACUGCAAGGGAUGACAUAUUUAAAAUAGGAAAAAAUUUAGGAACUUUGUUACAAAAGAAAGAAAAUUAGGAACCUAAAAAUUGGGAGACGAGUGUUCCCUCCUCUCUCUCUCUCUCUCUCUCUCUUUCUCACACAUAUGCACACUAGGAUGAAAGAAAUACAAUUAGAGAGAACAAAGAAGGAUUCCAAGGAAAAAAAGAAAAGAAAAAAAGGAGUGUAGAGGCUUCCUCCCAAAAAGGAGCAAAGACGGAAAGAAUAGAAACUUUCACACUAUAAGGAUCAUCAAUUCCUUUGUAUAUUUGAGUCCACGACUAUUAAUAUCAGUUAGUUUAGUCGGUCAAUUAGUUCAGAAUCAGUUACUGCAAUUCAAUCAGCUCAUUACAUAAGUUGUACUCAUUGAUUCUUGUAAUGAUUGAGAAAACAAAAUUCUCCAUCCAAUUCACAGGAUGGUCAGGACUCAACAAAUUGAGAUCUGGUUUAUCACCGCUAUUUUAAGUUUCAUGAUUCCCUUCUCCGAUUUCUCCAAUUGAAAACCAGAGCUCCACUCCUUCUCUAUCUUCAUCUUCUUUCCUGGAUUACUCAGCCAAUCGGCCGGAUCCCCUCUACAUUGGUGAUCUUAAUACAAACCCUUGGUUGGUGUUGGAUUCACCUUGAAUGGGAGCAAUCAUCACUCAUGGGCUAUAGUAAUGAAACUAACUUUGUUAGUUGGGAGCAUGGGAAAGAUGCACGCUUCAACUUUCUAUGGACUGAUCAAGCCUUUGAGGUUUGAAAGAUCUAUAAAAUUGUUCUUACAAGAGACGUGUUUUGAGUCUCAGAAUUGCAAGAGUAAAUCUAUUGAUGUAACCUAGGAAAUCUCUCAGUAUCUAAGUAAUUCACUCCUCAGCAUGUUAUAUCAUCAAACAAUCUAGGAAAAUUUGAAAUAAAGGACUGUUCGAAAAAUGUUGAGCAUGAAUAUCAUACAAAAAAUAGAGGCAUAUUCCUAACAUCAUUUAGACUGCUCAUAAUAAUUUUUCAC